UAUUCCCUAAUAAACCAGGUGAAUAUGAUUUAGAUUUUUUAAAUUUUUUUUCUUUACAGUAUGAAAAUCUUCAAGAGGAAGCAGAUAAGCAGAAAUAUCACCUGCAAAUCCCUGACAUGCUGAGAGAAACUCUUGGGACUGUUGUAUUUAAGUAAUUCCCAAAACAUGUUGCACUCCUUCUUGAUGUGUAUUCUGUCUGUAUUCAGCCCUCAUUCUGUUCUCCAACUUGGUGUUUCAGUAAGAUGCUGCUGAAAUUGAGGGGCUGUGUAUGUUUCAGUGUUUUCUCUUCGACUUUGGUGUUGUUUAAACACCAAAGAGUCUCUAUGCUGCACAAUGGAUGUCAGAGCAUCCGGGCUGCUGAGCUCUGACUCUGCUCGCUGCUCAGGUGUGCCAACAUGAAGAAUCGCACCUCAGAU
ensembl:lncRNA